GCAAAACCAAUUACCUGUACCUAUAUUUUUACUAAGUGUUUACAUGAACACAUUUUGCUUCAGUAAUUUUGAAAUUUUGUUAACAUGUAUUCAAACUAAAAGUACUGGGUUGAUGUGGGUGUUUUAUCUGGGGGUUUUUAAGCUGCAACUGUAAUCUGUUAAAUGAACAAAGCAGUUAUUUAUUAUUAUUAUUUAUUUUUACAACAUUUAAAAUGUUACAAGUUCUUUAUUUUGGUUAUGUCUGUUUAAAAUGAUAAGGAAAUAACUGGUCCACUGCUGAAUCUCUUUUCUUUUCUCUCUUAGCCACCUGAUGAUGAGAAAGACAUUAUCAAUAAGAAGAGUCCACAGCCACAAUAACAAGAUCAUUGAGCUGUCCCCUAAUUGUGGUCAGCUACAUGUUUAGUCUCUUAUGUGCUAAACAUUAUGUAGCCUAAGGAAGCAGCCCUGACUCUGUAGUUUAUAUGAAGGAGCAUGCUGAGUAACUAUCCAGAAAGUAGGUCCAAAGCUGAAAAAAGGGCACCAAGCAGAAACAUACCAUCUAAACUCCUUCGAUUCCUGUCAGACCAGAAAGACUUUCAGAAUCCUUGGAAGAUUUAAAGCCAUUGAAGUAUCAGUAUUGGAGAGGAAGAAGACCCAGUUGUAUCGUCUGUUUCCUGCCAUCUUGCAGUUAACCUGGUUUCUUAAUAUAAAGUACUUGUAAUUUGCCCACUUGCCCUUAAUUAUCUUAAAGCUAACAUUUAAAACUAAUUUGCUAUGAGAUUAUUUGCCAAGACUUCUCACGGUGCGAUUCACAUGUCAAUAUGUAUUAUUGUGUGUAUAACUAGCUAUUUGGAAUUCAAAUGAUUUGUAUUCAUUAAAGAAUCUGUUUUAAUUGCAAAGUUGUUUUUGUACUAAUCAUUGCAAGUUCACAGAUAACAAACUAUUUACUGCUUCUCUACACAUACAGUAUAGAAUAAAUGUUUUGUUUUACUAUUGUAAACCAUUAAUAGUGUAUUUCCCAUAUGUAUAUGUUUGUCCUUACCAAUUGCCAUUUCUAUGCUGCUUGAAGAGCAUUAAAUUAGUAAAAUAAUUAUUUUUUACAGUAGGUAUCCCAUUAAAACAAAGAAUC